rnacentral:rRNA from 1 species
AGAGUUGAUCCUGGCUCAGGAUGAACGCUAGCGACAGGCUAACACAUGCAAGCCGAGGGGCAGCAUAAAAGUAGCAAUACUUGGUGGCGACCGGCGCACGGGUGAGUAACGCGUAUGCAACCUACCUAUCAGAGGGGAAUAACCCGGCGAAAGUCGGACUAAUACCGCAUAAAACAGGGGCACCGCAUGGUGAUAUUUGUUAAAGAAAUUCGCUGAUAGAUGGGCAUGCGUUCCAUUAGGUAGUUGGUGAGGUAACGGCUCACCAAGCCGACGAUGGAUAGGGGAACUGAGAGGUUGGUCCCCCACACUGGUACUGAGACACGGACCAGACUCCUACGGGAGGCAGCAGUGAGGAAUAUUGGUCAAUGGGCGAGAGCCUGAACCAGCCAAGUCGCGUGAAGGAAGAAGGAUCUAUGGUUCGUAAACUUCUUUUGCAGGGGAAUAAAGUGCAGGACGUGUCCUGUUUUGUAUGUACCCUGAGAAUAAGGAUCGGCUAACUCCGUGCCAGCCGCCGC